rnacentral:lncRNA from 1 species
UGUGUAGAGGUUGAUCAAGAAAUGAUAGUGAUUAUUAACAAGUUCAAAAAAGGAAACAAAAAAUAUAGUGUAGUAAUUUUUUUUUUUUUAGAGAGAUAGGUAGCACGCUACCCGCUUCGAUUAUUUCAUUUAGAAAUAAAUUUAGUUAGAAAUGUGAAUUAACUAGGAUUCAAACUUGGGACUUCGGAUACCAACCACCAAGCCUUUUGCCACUUACUCUAGGGAUGGUCGGUUAUAGUGUAGUAAAUUGAACAUAACUUUUAAG